GUAGUGUUUGAGGAGUGUUAUAUAGCAGGUACCUAGACAGGUGGUGUUUGAGGAGUGUUAUAGAGCAGGUACCUGGACAGGUAGUGUUUGAGGAGUGAUAUAUAGCAGGUACCUGGACAGGUAGUGUUUGAGGAGUGUUAUAUAGCAGGUACCUAGACAGGUGGUGUUUGAGGAGUGUUAUUUAGCAGGUACCUAGACAGGUAGUGUUUGAGGAGUGUUAUAGAGCAGGUACCUGGACAGGUAGUGUUUGAGGAGUGUUAUAGAGCAGGUAUCUGGACAGGUAGUGUUUGAGGAGUGUUAUAGAGCAGGUACCUGGACAGGUAGUGUUUGAGG
rnacentral:lncRNA from 1 species